rnacentral:rRNA from 1 species
AACGAACGCUGGCGGCGUGCCUAACACAUGCAAGUCGAGCGGGAAAGUUCUCUUCGGGGAGCGAGUACAGCGGCGAACGGGUGAGUAACACGUAGGCAACCUACCGUUGGAGAUUGGGAUAACCUGCCGAAAGGCGGGCUAAUACCAGAUAAGACCACGAGGGCUGCGGCCCUUAGAGGAAAAGAUGGCCUCUGCUUGCAUGCUAUCGCUCCGGGAUGGGCCUGCGCGCCAUUAGCUAGUUGGUGAGGUAACGGCUCACCAAGGCCGAGAUGGCUAGCUGGUCUGAGAGGAUGGCCAGCCACACU